GCUGUAAUGUGUGCAUAGUUUUCAUCUGUGUCUGAUAGCAUUGUCUGUCUGUGUUUUGCAAUCAGAUUGUGCUAUCCACGCAAACGUCAUGCAGCCUAAGAGUAACCUGGGAUCAUAGUACUGGUCUAGUGUUGUCUCUUUGGACUUACCUACCACUGGCCAGCCUCCAAAUUCCCAUACAGAG